CCUACGGGCGGCAGCAGUGAGGAAUAUUGGUCAAUGGACGAGAGUCUGAACCAGCCAAGUAGCGUGAAGGAUGACUGCCCUAUGGGUUGUAAACUUCUUUUAUAUGGGAAUAAAAUGUUCCACGUGUGGGAUUUUGUAUGUACCAUAUGAAUAAGGAUCGGCUAACUCCGUGCCAGCAGCCGCGGUAAUACGGAGGAUCCGAGCGUUAUACGGAUUUAUUGGGUUUAAAGGGAGCGUAGGUGGAUUGUUAAGUCAGUUGUGAAAGUUUGCGGCGCAACCGUAAAAUUGCAGUUGAAGCUGGCAGUCUUGAGUACAGUAGAGGUGGGCGGAAUUCGUGGUGUAGCGGUGAAAUGCUUAGAUAUCACGAAGAACUCCGAUUGCGAAGGCAGUUCACUGGACUGCAACUGACACUGAGGCUCGAAAGUGUGGGUAUCAAACAGGAUUAGAUACCCCAGUAGUC
rnacentral:rRNA from 1 species